GACUGAAUUGGGUACGUUGAUAGUUUAGGUUUUGGUGUUUAAUAACAAAAAUUAUUAGUUGAAUUCUUAGUUUCAUAUUAUGAUUUUCAAAUUUUAAAAUUUCUUAAGUAUAUAUCAAAAUUUGGGGUGUUUAUGAUUUUGAUUACUUUUUGUAGUAUAGAGUAGGUGUUGUUUUGUGGCAGUGUUGAAUAAUAGAAAAUGUAUAAUAUUUAUUACUACCUUUAUCUUGUAAAAAAAGUUUUCUUUUAAUAUUUUUUUUUUGAGUAACAACAUUUGUCAUAUUUUGUGGUGCCCCCAAAAUACGGUCCAUACAAACCAAUUUUGGUCGUCAAAAUACAUACAAUAACAUAAGUUCAAAUAUUACAAGGUCGUAUAUAAUACGACACUAUUAACAUCCAAAUUCAGACAUAGCAGUAUAAAAAUACAGCAACACACAUUACAAGUCUUUGCCACACUAUUUUACAACAUAGUGAAGGCUACUAUGGUAAUUCUCUCUGACCAUCACUCCGCACCCCGGCUAGUCCCAGUUACGUUCUCAUUUUCAGAGAAGAACAAUGGAACAAAGGAAAAUGGUGAGCUCAACUAGUCGAGUAAAGAAUAUCACGACUAAGAUAAUGAAGAAUAAAUUAUCAUUAGUCUUCAACAGUGAAAAAUCUGAUAGAAUAUAACAGACAACAAGUUUUAGAUUAACAACUGCAGCGGAAAUAUCAAUCAAUUAAGAGAGUAAGAUAGAUCAUGAUGUCCACAAUCUUCUCCAGAAAGGUCAUCAUCAAUAUUUUAUCUCUGUAACACCAAUCAACAGUUCUUGUUCAUAAUUAUGCAAAUCAACAAUCCUUGGUCAUAAACACGCAAAUCAACAACUCAUCUUUGCACUACGGGCCAAAAAUAUUUAAUUGUAGCAUCAAUGAUCAUGAUAAUACCAAUCAACCAUUACUCAUUGCCACAAAGGCUAUAGAGAACUUUUAUUUUAUCCCCGCAACACCAAACAACAAUUACCUCAUUGCUACAAAAGCUAUAGAGGAUUUUAUUUUUAUCCCUGCAACACCAAACAACAUUUCCUCGUUGCCACAAAGACUAUAGAGAACUUCCACCACAAAUACUUGCCGAAAAGGCUAAAAAGAUCUUUCACCACUUGUUCUUGCCACAAAGACCAAAUACACUCACAACCACUUAGUCUUAAUGAUUAGUACAAAGAUUAAUGGUAUCAAAAAUUAACAGAAGUUGUAAGAAUAAUAAGAUAAAUGAAUAAACAUUUGAGAUUUGACAUUUAAUUUGUUCAAGUUCAAUAAUGUCCAAAUUGUCAACAUGAUGACAAAAAUGUGGAGUGAAAUUUAAGAAUGAUAUUCAAAUUUCAUAUUUCAAAGAUAACGAAUAAAAUAAGAAGGUUCAUGCAAAUAAAAGUUCAAGUGAAAUGAUAUUAGAUGAAGCGUAAACUAUUAAGGAUAUUUUAAUCCUUUAAAGAAUUUUCACAAUUUAAUGAUAAGACUAUAGAAACGAAUAUUAGUUUCUUACCAUAAUAUGGAGUAUGAAAAAAAAUGAUAUCCCUUACCAAAAUAGGGAGCAUGAAGGAAAAGUGACAUCCCUUACCUUAAUUAUCAGGUGAUUGAAUGUUGCUUUCUAUGAAUUUUAUCAACUUGAACAAUACUUGAAUUCUUACUGAUCUUCACAAGUACCCAAAAUAGCCCAACUCACUUAGAGAGAACUUAAGAAUUAUUAGAGAGUGAAAGAAGUAU
rnacentral:lncRNA from 1 species